GGGCCGUUUUUUUACCAAAAGGAACACCCCCACCUUGCGUCGUUCUUCAACAAAAGAACACCCUUCAGCCGUUGAACACACACCCCCCCUAGCCGUUACCCCAUUCUUCAACACAAACAAAAAACCUUUGAACUUCCAACGCUACAGAACGGAGAAAUACCUCUCAUCCCUUCUCCAAAAUCAACGCCACUGCCCCUCCAGCCAAGCCCAGACGCCGCUCACACCACCUUUGUACACCAUAGCUCCUUCUUCUUCAACUCACAGCAGACCGGUUGCUGCUCUUUCACCACCAGAAAUGGCCAGAAACCGGCAACCACUCACACACGAACAGUAAGAGGAAUAGAGGUACACAGACAGAAAAAUCAGAGGUGUUUUUUGGACAUAAAUUAGGAAAAAAUUGGGGAAAGUUUCGAAGAGUUCAUAAACAUCCCUACAAUUUUAGUUCCUUUUAAUGUCAUUUCUGCUUCUCAAAUCCGAAAAAAACAUACACUCUAGUUUUUGAUUUUGAUCUUCUCUUAUGGAAUCUGAUGGAGUCGAGGGGGGUUCGAUUUGAUUAUUGUCCGUCGUUUGCUGUCUCUGAGGUUUUGUUCGUAGUUCCGGAUUUAAUUGUUGAUUGUUUCAUGCAGUGGAUAUGGAUCUUGUUGUUUGAUUUCCUUGCUUGUAUCACAUCCGGACAGAAGUUUUAAUUGAAAUCCUCUUAAAGGUUCAUUCUUUUUCCCUUUUAUCUCUCUUUUGGUGUUGAUCUUCAUAUGAUAAGAUCCAAGGUUCAAUCGAUUGGUUCAGUUUAGUUGUGGAAAGACGAUCAGGUUUGAGUGUUAACAGAGGCAGUUGUUCGCCGGUUUCGAAUAGAGUUAAGCUUUGCGUGAAUUUCCUUUCAUUACAUGUGCCUUGUUUUGCUUUUGGUAUUUGAACGUCUAUAUGGAAUCUGUUCAACUCCAACAUGGUUGAUCGAGGCUCGAUUUGAUUUUGUGAUUAUGUGAGUUGGUGAGGCAUAUUAGAUUACUGUUAGAAAAAUGCAAAGUUUCCAUAUCCGUGUUAGUUGAUGUGUAAUGGCUUAGCGAAAUUUUCGUACUUCAUAGAUUUGGAUGAAAUCAAACAUAUAUUGUCUUGCUAUUAUAGUUUUUCCCUCUUCCUCUAUGUUUGUUGAGAAAUACACUUAGUUAUGACACUUGCAAGUCUGUUCCUAGCUGCUAGAAUUCGAAGAUUUGAUUCAUGACUGUUGGUUUAGUUUCGAAC
rnacentral:lncRNA from 1 species